rnacentral:rRNA from 1 species
ACGGAGGAUCCAAGCGUUAUCCGGAUUUAUUGGGUUUAAAGGGUGCGUAGGCGGGCUGUUAAGUCAGUGGUGAAAGGUUGACGCUCAACGUUAACAUUGCCAUUGAAACUGACGGUCUUGAGUACAAAUGAGGUAGGCGGAAUGUGUUGUGUAGCGGUGAAAUGCUUAGAUAUGAGGCAGAACACCAAUUGCGAAGGCAGCUUACUGGGAUGUAACUGACGCUGAGGCACGAACUCGUGCGGAGCAAACAG